AUACUUACCUGGCAGGGGAGAGACCAUGAUCAUGAAGGUGAUUUUCCCAGGGAGAGGCUUAUCCAUUGCACUCUGGAUGUGUUGACCCUUGUGACUUUCUGAAAUGUGGGGAACUCAACUGCACAAUUUUUGCUAGUGCGGGACUGUGUUUACACUCUCCCCAG